AGGGUUUCCAGCUGGUGGUAUAAAGAGAUAAACUGGGAUCAGCAUGACUCCUCAGUCACCAAGCCUCCUCUGGAAAUGGCAGAACACCAGGAACCCAAAGGUACUGAAUGCAUUUCUGGGAGUAAAUGAGACCCAUGUGAACAGAGAGGUGGAACAGGCACCAGAUUACCACACAAGCCCUCAUAAACAUCAACAAACAUGGGGCCCAUCAUCUUGUUACCAAGAUAUCCCUUUGCCAUGACCUAGAAAAAAGCAGAAAUCAUGGAACUGGGAGCAUGAGGGACCUGACUCUCUAGACCUAGUUCUAAGGCAGAAUAAAAUCAUAAUGUGACCUUCUUACUACUUC